CCCUGAUGCACAAGGUACUUUAAUAAACUUUUUUAUUUUAAAUUUUUAACAUAAAAUAUAAAUUUCCUUUUCAGUAAAUCAAUAAAAAAAUUAUUCUAAUUAUUAUACAUAUUAUUUAUUACUUUAAAAAUCUCUCUUUUAAAAGAAAUAUUUUUUAAAAAAU
rnacentral:rRNA from 1 species